rnacentral:lncRNA from 1 species
CGCCAAGUCUAGGUCCAAGAGGCUUCUGAACAGCUUCUACUCUCAAGCAAUAAGACUCCUGAACAUCUAAUCAAAUGGCCACCCAGACUAUUUGCAUUGCCCCCCCCUGCUCUUUUACAUUGCUGCUACUCUCUGUUGUUAUCAUCAAUGCAUAGUCACUUUAAUAACUCUACCUACAUGUACAUAUUACCUCAACUAACCGGAGCCCUCGCACAUUGACUCUGUACCUGUACCCCCCUGUAUAUAGUCUCGCUAAUGUUACUUUACUGCUGCUCUUUAAUUACUUGUUACUUUUAUUUCUUAUUCUUAUUCAUAUUUUAUUUAAACUACAUUGUUGGUUAGGGGCUCGUAAGUAAGCAUUUCACUGUAAGGUUGUAUUCGGCGCAUGUGACUAAUACAAUUAGAUUUGAUUUUGAUUUGAAAAACAUUUAUUUGAUUUCAUAUCCAUUUUCAUUUUAGUAAUUUAACAGACGCUCUUAUCCAGAGUUAGUGCAUUCAUCUUAAGGGAGGGAGGGGGAUAAGACUGACUGAGAUGUCUUGCAGUAUUUAAGAUAGUGGUACAGCACUCAUCUAGAAUUCCCCUACUCAGACUAUAGCAACAACAAAAACUUAUUGAAAGACACAAAUACUUGCAGAGAUGAGUUGUCUUCCCAGACUAUAAAUGAGCACAUGGUAGUUCUAAUAUGGUGUCCAUACACAUGACUGUCCUAAAAUGGACACCAUAUUCUCAUUAAUGUUUGUGACCUGUUAUAACAGAAAUUAUGUCAUGCUCAUGCCAGAUACUGCGAAUAACAAGGAUCAUUACCAAGUUUUGUUUCUAUGGCGUUUGCAUGAUGCCUGUGUAUUGACGAUACUAUGAAAAAAAUCUGCUCUGGUGGUCCCUUUCUCAACUGUCACCAAGUUUAACGUUGAGUGUUGGCUGGCCGUGAUGUGUCCUAGACAGCCAGGAUGUGUCCCCAAUGGCACUCUGUUCCCUACAUAGUGUACUACUAUGGGUCCUGGUCAAAAGUAGUGCACUACAUAGGAAAUAGGGUGUUAUUUUGGACGUAGCCCCAGUGUUUGGAGACAGCUCCUCCACCCUGGCAAACAGGAGCCUAGCAAUUACAUCGGAUCUCCAGGAGACAAACAAGGACUUAUCAAAGGCCUUCAGCACCAAACCAAAGCAGACUUUGAGUUAGUGCCUGUGUGUGUUUGUUUGUCUCUGUGUGGGUGCGUGAAUGCGCGCGUGUGUACGGUGGGGGGUAUAGAGAGAGAUAAAAACUAAACAAUCCACUAUAUAUUAGGUGCCACCUUAGCAGCCAAACACUCUGUAGUUACCCUCCAGUACCCUCCAGCAAAACACACUCUGUAGGUACCCUCCAGUACCCUCCAGCCAAACACACUGUACAGUAGGACCCUCCAGCCAAACACUCUGUAGGUUCCCUCCAACCAAACACUCUGUAGGUUCCCUCCAGCCAAACACACUGUAGGUUCCCUCCAGCCAAAGACAUUGUAGGUUCCCUCCAGCCAAACACACUGUAGGUUCCCUCCAGCCAAACACACUGUAGGUUCCCUCCAACCAAACACAUUGUAGGUCCCUCCUGCCAAACACUCUGUAGGUUCCCUCCAGUGAAACACACUAUACAGUGUCUCCCUCCAGCCAAAUACACUGUAGGUACCAUCUUGCCACUGAAAAUGUUGUUUGUGAAAUGCUUAACCGGGACCCUGACCUAGACUAAAUGUAUUCAUAAAAAUGCCAGGCCCAAACUUGUCACGCUCGGGCUACAAAUCCAAACUGUACAGGAACGGACCACCACAUCAGGGAUGGAAAUUGGUAUAUGAGAAUUAUAUUUUGGUGCAUCAGAUGACCUGGCCUCCACAAUCAACCGACCUCAACCCAAUUGAGAUGGUUUGGGAUGAGUUGGACCACAGAGUGAAGGAAAAGCAGCCAACUGGUGCUCAGCAUAUGUGGGAACUCCUUCAAGACUGUUGGGAAAGCAUUCCAGGUGAAGCUGGUUGAGAGAAUGACAUAGUGUGCAAAGCUGUCAUCAAGGCA